AAUGCAGUGGUGGAAUCUUGCUGUGAGUUUCUACUGAGCAGGGAUGCCCAUAUCCCUCCCCAAUAGAUUGCAGAGAACGGAACAACUGUGUACUAGUUUGCUCCCAGAGAUAGGACUUCAUAGUGCGAUUUGCUUUGUAUCUUGAUAUUCAGUGUGGAGCAGAUCCAAAGCCGACUGCAGUCAAUGAGUCCCACUGAACUUCAAUGGGCUUUGGAUCAAAUUUAAUACAAGACUCUUUAGUCUCUCUUGGGACAGUGGGGAUUUUGCUGGUGGGGGUAAAUGUCCCUCUAAGAAGGCAUUUUCCGGCUGUCUCUAAGGGGAGGGAGGAGGAAUUAGAGAACAGCAUUUUGAAGCUGUAUCUCUUCGCGGUUGGGGGUGUACUUCAAGCUUACCGGCCGUUCCAGCCUCCGUGGGGUGCCGACUGGAGGCCGCUUGGCGAUGCUGGGAGAAGGGGUGUUGCUGGAGAUUACGUACGCCUUCCCCUUGGGUGCGUGUAUUGGGGAUUGUACUGGGUGCUCACCCCUCCCCCUGACGGAGGGAACAUUACGAGCACUGCUGUUUCCCGGCCAGACCCACGGUGCCAGCACCCCCUCCCGCUCCACCAGGACUAGAAGACUCAGGGCGGCAAAAUGGCGGCCAAAGCCGCGUUGCUCCAGCAGCAGGAACAUGGAGGCCCCCUCUCCCCCCCGGGGCAGUGCGCCAUUUCGCAGCGUCGAAGCGGCUGAGGUGCGGAGAGAAAGGGGCCUGAAGGGGGCAGCUCUUCGGAAUUGCUUUACAUCAUUCAAAGAGUGACAUGGCUCAAGUCUUCAUCUGAAAAAGCCAAUACAUUAUUGAGGUCUCAAAGGGCUGGACAGGAGCGCUGGUUGGCAGGUCUGCGGGGGCUCCCCUCAGCUGAACACGCAGCACGGGCUCGGCAACCUUACCUCCCCACCCCACGCCUGGAGCAGCUCAUGCCCGCGCUGCGAGCUCGUGCGGCGCUCAGUCCCCACGUAGGGUGGCAUAUCAAGAAUAGAAGAAAAGAAAAAGGAAGACUAGAAGCAAGAAGACCUUUCACCUACCUGAGUCUCUGCAACUCUGACCUGUCUCUGAGUUCCCUUUUUCUAUCCUGAAGCUUCACUGGACAUCGUGAUGAUGAAUCCUUAUUUUCACUUAGCAGAAUCCUGGGGUUCUAUGGGACACCAUUUGAGAAACACUGAGUCUAAUGUGAGUGACUGCACUAGUUGAAAUACAUUGAUAUUUCUAAUACCAUUGAAUAAUAAAACAUUGAUUUUUGUUGAGGAUUUACAUUAACUAGUAUAAAAAGAUAGUUGAGAUUAACAUUAUAUAUGGAAGAAAAAUAUUUAUUACUAAAAACAAAUUAGGUAUUAUUAAUUGAGAAGGCAUUUCAAACACCCAAUGUUAUUUUCACUGUGUGUACUGUUUGUUCACUUUUUGUAUUUAAUUCUACUUGAACUAGACUGAAAAGAAAGGUCUUCUGAUUCCUCAGCCAUUCCAUGCAUAGCACUCAUUGUGAAGUCAAUGGGAAUUUAGGGUAUAGAAAGCCUUCUGGCAAAAAAGCUGAUUUAUUAUUUACAAAGAAGAAUUGCUACAUUUGAGUUCCUGAUGGCUAAAUAUCCCAUCCUUUAUUCCGAAUGUUGUCACUAGAGCCUCCACAGAUCUCUCCAUUAGAAGAUGUUGUGACUCAGUAUGGGAGUUUGCCACAUCUGUUAGGAAACUGCUACAGAUGGUUCAACUCAUUAGCUGACAGAACUCCUAGUGAACAUCACCGAAGAGUACUGGGACCUCACUUGGACUAAAUGUUAAGCUUGCCUCCUGUUCAUUGUCAUUACAUUUUCUCAAAAUAAGGUCCUUAGCCAAUUCUAUGGGACCCAGGAUACACUUUUAAAUGCAGCCAGACUGUUUUAUACAAUUGGCAAAUGUGACAAAGUUAAACAGCACCAGUUGUCAUUGUAUAAGUCUCUGUCUAAGGACUGUGCCUCGAACAGAGCUUGUAGUAUCUUUUAAAAUCUUUAUUGCAUCUGCUUUCAUUGCAUUUCUCAAAUGAUGAUAUAAUGAACUUUAAUUUUAAUUUUUAAAGAUUUUUCUAUUUUGUAAUAUCUUAUCUUGAAAAUAAACAUUUUUCUUUACCAUUUUUGUGUUUCUCCCUUUGGCAUACACUGAUGGAGUGUUCCCCCUGCUCCUCACCUCCACCCAAUCUCAUGUUUUUCAAGAAGUUGCUCCAUGUUUGUAUGUCAGGAUCAUCCAUAUCAGAAUGAUUUAGCAACAGUUUGUUACUGCUGCAGCAGAGCCAGCAGGAGUAGCUCACAUUUUGCUCUUUUAUGGUUUUCAUAGGUUUAGGGCCAAAUUUUCAGUCUCUGAUUUUAUAUACAUGUUGAGUGUACAAUUAAUGAAUUGGAAGGUACAGACUGCUCUUAUUCAAUUU